rnacentral:snoRNA from 1 species
UGCAGAUGAUGUGAAAGAAUAUUUGCUAUCUGAGUGAUAGUGCUGACACGUUACCACCAAGAUCACUGAUGCA